rnacentral:siRNA from 1 species
UAAAGUAUUUGAAUAUGAUGG